rnacentral:tRNA from 1 species
GGGGCUAUAGCUCAGAUGGCAGAGUAUUUGCCUAGUAUGCAAAAUGAUCUGGGUUCAGUUCCUAGCACCA